GGAUGAAGACAUGUGGAUGGAUGAGAUCAUUGGAGGAGCUCUGGAAUGCUGGGAAAGGGCCUCUUGGGAUGCGCACGCCGGGAGUGCGCGGCUGUGCAAUCUCGAUUUUCGCACCCGAAUGUGUGGAUUUCGAUUCUCCAUCGCCUUCGACUCUCCGCGGCUCGCAACGCCACUUCUCGCGGAAAAAACCCAUGAAAAACUCGGUGGAUUUUCAUGUCCUAAUUGAAGUUUUUUUUUUUUUUUUUUUUUUUUUUUUUUGCAGGGAAGACACUUGUGAGAACAAUGUUUUCGCGUGUGGCCCAAGUACUCAAAUGUCGUCUCGGUGGAGUGGGUUUCGUGAUAACGCUGUGAAGGCGCGAAAUCGAGGCAAGUUUUCAGAACCGGGUUUCUGAUCGCCUUCGAGGUGUCGUCCAAUUGGCGCAAGUGGGCCCAGAAGAUCUGGCCUCGAAUUUUCCACGUUCGAAAGACGCAUUCCGUGAUCUCCACCAGUGCCGUUGCUUUCGGUGCGUUAGAAUUGUCGUGCCACAGUUUCAGCUGUGUAUUUUUCCAGCGUGCCGUUCGAGGAUAGUCUGUGGCCCCCUUCCGGAACUGUUCUUUCCCAAGGCCCAGCUACUGGGCCCAUGUCCCAUCGAGUUCACCACUGUGACGGAAUAGCGCGUUGUGCUUUGCAGUAGGAGGUUCGAUUACUGCGAGGGGAGCUCCAAGCGUCGAAUCUCGCAAACGAGUGUGAAGUGUGCAAAGUGUCUGGGUUUCAGAGCGUCGGAACCUGUGAUUCCUCCGACCACCUGUGAGGACUCCUGGCCGCCCUUCCUCGCUUGGGCUGUCGGUAGACUUGGGGAAGCAACACCUGAGGAUCUGUGGCCCUUUUUAGGCAUAGUCGAGGACUGUACAAAUGUAGUAAAACUUGACGUUUUAGAGGAUUCAAGUUCAAUUUUGUUUGAUAUUCUUGUGGUGAUAAUUGAAGGAUGCGACAAUUUAAGAAGUUCUUUCAAUAGUUGUGCUAUAAAUUGAUUUCUAAUCAAAAUAGCAUAUAAUCUGAAGAACAAAAUCCUGAUGCCUUGAAUUCUAUGUGGCGCUUCUGUCUUUUCUAAACGAGACGUAUGUGGAUUAAUUGAAUGAUAUCUCUUAUAUUUA